AGCAGCUUCUGAAAAGCCGAUGGCGGAACCAAGCCCCGGGGAUGUUCGAAUGGAAGGCAGUGGAACGUCACCUUCGGCAGCUGCUCAUGAACAACCGAUGGCGACAAGCCCCUGUGGUAUUUCACUGGAGGGUACCAGCGCGUCACAUUCCAUAGCGGC